rnacentral:tRNA from 1 species
AUUUAUAUAAUAUAAAAAGUAUAUUUGAUUUCCAAUCAAAAAGUCUAAAAUUUUAUAGUAUAAAUA